ACGCUCGACACCUACGGGAAGCAGCAGUGGGGGAUAUUGCACAAUGGAGGAAACUCUGAUGCAGCGACGCCGCGUGAGGGAAGAAGGUUUUCGGAUUGUAAACCUCUGUCUUCGGUGACGAAAAUGACGGUAGCCGAGGAGGAAGCCACGGCUAACUACGUGCCAACAGCCGCGGUAAUCUGAGCGGGCUGGCAAGGC
rnacentral:rRNA from 1 species